GCCGGGGUGGGGUAAAGGUUAUCCUGAAGCCCUGUGGAGGCUUUGACCCGAGUUCGAUUCUCGGUCCCGGCC
rnacentral:tRNA from 3 species